GUCCUGUGUCGAUCGUGCAAAUUGUAAACAAAAUAAAGGUCGGCGUGUGGUGUCGAGUAGGCUACUCCAUAAUCUCGUCAACAAUUUUCAGUACAGUUUCAGAUAUUACUAAUAGCUGCAAGUUGAGAGGUAAUAUGUGUGCAUAUGUCCAGUGUAGAACGCAGUAGAAUCCAGUGUGAUUGGUCAUGAGCAACUAAAGAGUGACCGGGUUUUACGGCAGAAAUAUGGCUCCACCAAGUUCGCCUCUCAAGCGCAGCCUCAGCAGCAUUGGGCGCCAGAUCUCCUUCCGCCAGCCCAUCAGGCCCUUCAUCUCCUCCACCUUCGUGGACUUCUUCGAGGAGCGGGACCACCUGGUCAAGCGGGUCUUCCCCCAGCUGAACAGCCUGUGCCACCAGCGGGGCACCCACUUCAGCCCCGUGGACCUACGCUGGGGCAUCAACGAGGAGCAGUCGCAGUCCGGUAACGUCAUCUCCCUCUGCCUGGACUACAUCAACUCCUGCAGCCCUUUCUUCAUCUGUCUCCUCGGGGAGCGCUACGGCUCCCGGCGGCCCACCGAUGCACGGCCGCUCCAGCCCAACGCCGACAUCAACAGCAAGGACCUGACCUGGCUGGAUAAGAACUACCUGGUGGCAGCCGCCAACGGUCAUAACUGGAUCCUGCAGGAAGCCUAUCAGUGCUGUAGCGUGACGGAGUUGGAGAUCAUUCAGGCUGUCUAUCUGAAUGACAGCCAGCAUUGCAGGUUCUACUUCAGGGAUGUCAGGCACAUUGAAGACAAGUUUGCCGAUCUGCCUCAAGUUGAGAGAGAAAACAAAUUACAGAUAUAUAGCAGUGAGAAUGAAGAGACAGAACUGCGAGUGCGGGAUCUCAAGAGGAAACUCGUCAACAAGGGCCUACCGGUGCGAUUCUUCCGGACGGUAGAGGAGCUUGGGGAGAAAGUUUUGCAGGAUUGGAACGCCAUCAUCAACCAGCUGUUUCCACCACUGCACGACGUCACGACGGACGUAGACGGUGAACAGUUUCGUGAGUGGACGGCCCACGAGGCUUACGCUGAAACACGGCGCCGCGUAUUCGUCCAAACGCCACACAUCAGCAAGCUGUUUGACCAGCUGGAUGCACACGCAUUUCUGGCUCUCAAAGAACCACGACCGGAAGAUGAGAAGGUGCAACAAGAAGGAAAUUAUAAAGUGAAUGGUGCAGGAAAAGGACGGAAGUCCACGGAGCUGAUCAAACAGGCAGAGCCAUCUAUUCUUACACUGGUCGGAGAAAGAGGUUGCGGCAAGACGGCCAUCGUCGCUAACUGGGUGAAGCAUUUGAAGAAGAGCUACCCGGGGCUCAGGGUCAUCUCGCACUUUGUUGGCAGCAGCGCCCUCAGCACAGACAUCACCAGCUUCCUGCGUCGUGUCACCUACGAGCUGCGAGGGGAAUUCGUUGGGAACCAGAAUGAGACAUCGGGUGAUACAGAGGACAUGUCUAACUUCCAUCAUAUCUGCGAGGCGUUUGUGGCAGCAGUGGCCAUGGGUCCUUGCGUGCUAGUACUGGACGGCAUCGAUGAACUGAGCGGUACCCUUGGGCAGAACAUGCACCAGGUGAAAGAGAUGUCCUGGCUGCCCGCUGCGCUACCCCCGCAGUGCCAAAUCGUCCUGAGCACCGUCCGCUCCGACCUGACCUACAAGACCCUCUCCCAGCGGGGGGACACGCAGGUCCUGCCGGUCCCGCUCUUCAGGGACAAAGGCCAGAAGACCACCAUGGUGGCCAACAACCUGGCCGUCCACUGCAAGUGCCUGGACCAGGCCCAGAUGGAGAAGGUGGUCGCUUCCAAGCUGAGUGACCGGCCGUUGUUUCUGUCCAUUCUGGCCAACGAGCUCCGAGUCUGCGGGAGCUAUGGAAACCUGGACAAGGUGAUGGAGCAAUACAUAGAGGCAGUGACAUUCAGGGACCUGUGGAAAUGUGUGAUUCACCGAUGGAUUAGGGAUUACGGAUGGACAACGGACGGCCGCUCAACGUCGGUUUCCACUGAUAACAGCUUGGAUGACGUAUCAGGCUGGGUCGCAGAGGUGCUGCGCCUGAUCAGCUGUUCCAGACACGGCCUGAGUGAGCCCGAGAUCCUGGAACUGCUGAGAAUGAUGGGAUACACAGGUCAGGCUGAGGUCACGCCCUUUGACUUUGCCCUCUUCCGGUCGGCCACCUUCGAUGCCCUGGUGGAGAGGCCCGGGGGCCUGAUGAGUUUCUUCCAUCAGCAUCUCAGGGAGGCUGUGGAACACUCGUUGCUCGGAAUGAUCAGCGGCACAGCAGGCUUGCCCGACUCCCCCGAAGCCUCCGCCGUCAACUUCCUGGCGGUGGGCCAGAACCGCCAGAAGAGGACGUGCCACGAGGCCCUGUCCCGCUACUUCUGGAAGCAGCCACACAGCCUGCGCAGAACCGGGGAGUUGCCCUGGCAACUGGAGAAAUGCGGCGACGUGCAGGGCCUCUAUAGCAUCCUGACGGAACCUGAAGUAUUCCUAAUGAUGUGCCAGGACAGCAUUCAGAGCGUGGCCCUCAAGCUGGAUCUCCUGCGCUACUGGCAGCGACUGAGCCGCAGCGGCUACGACAUCGCCGAGACUUACGAGAAGAUGGUCAUGAACGCGUUGUAUGAGCAAGAGCUUGCCUGGAAUGGUGGACGGGGGAAUCCCGGUGACCAAGAAGCGGCUGUGGUGAAUGAUGGAGAUGGAGGAAAGACAUUGCCAUCCUCUGCCAAGAAACUUCUUUACAAGCUCUCCGUCAUUGAAGAAAGUGAGGGGUCGGUUUCUCCCAACGACAGCCCCGUACAUGAAAGCAAGAUUUUGUCUUCAGAUGCAAGUCUCACAAAUGGAACCGAUGCCAAGGCUUCAUUGUGCUCCUCUUCAGCCUCCGCCUCAGUGCAGGACAAAGUGUCUCCAGCCUCCGUUAAAGGGCCUAGUACAGCCACCGAUGAUAGGGAGGCACUCUCGUCCUCAGAUACUGAUGAGGAGGCGGGGGAAGUGUGGGAGGAUGCCAGAGAUGGAACAGAACCACAGAGUGACGAAGGAAUGUCCACAUUAGAAGACAUCUUCUAUGAGUUCAAGCCACAGGACAGAUGCAAGAUGGCCGUGCUUGCAAUGCAUGCUGGGAAGUUCCUGGCCGAGAAGUCAAUUUUCACGCACUCGGAAAGGCUGUUGCAGUUGGCGCAUGAAGAAAUCAAAACGAAAUUCCCCCUGAGCACCCCAGAGCAGCUCUUCCUUGUUAAGGUCGAGGAAAACCUGGGAGAUCUCCACCGUUUCCAGCUCCAUAAGCAUGCAGCCAAGAAAUUCUACCACAAGGCACUCAAUACACUCAGCAACAUCGCUGCGGACAAGUCCGACGAUAUCUACAAGCAACUGCAGGAAAAUCAAGGUCGUCUGUUGAACCAUCUUGGUCACAUGGCCGUCAAGGAGCAGACCAAAGAGGUACAAGAAGCAGAGACGAUCCUGCAGAAGGCUAGCCAAUGCAUGAGAGAUGCUAACAGCAUCGCUGGCUUGGCUACUGCGCAGUUCAUUCUUGGCCUAGUUCAAGUAAAGAAGAGAGAUUAUGUCACAGCAGAGAAAUGCCUGUGUGAGGCCUUGGGCACUAGGGAGCGAUGGUAUGGCAAAUCCCAUCCGCACGUUGGCGAAGUACUGGAUGAGCUGGGCGGUCUGCUGUGCAACAAGAAGAAUCUACAGAGGUAUGACAGAAAAAUGGCCGAGACAUAUUUCCGGAGGGCGCUGUCCAUAAGAACCCAGUCCUAUGGCAGAGACCAUCUUCUUGUCGGAACCACGUUGUUCCAUCUCGGACGACUCCUGAAAUCUAGUGGUAGUCAGCAGUGCAAGACAGAGGCCGUGACCCUUCUGGGCCGUGCCCAUGACAUCCGCACCACUCACCUGGGGGCCAAUCACUUCCUGACCAAGGCCGUGCGGCAAGCCCUGAGGGAGGUCCAGAAACAGCUGACAGCCGGCGAUUACGACUACGCUCCGGUCAAGCAGCCGGACCGACGCACCAAGGAUCAACCUUACAGUGCCCUCAGCUGGCAGGAGGCUGACCUGAUGGGUUUCGAGAAGCGGGCCCGGGCCAAGAGCGCCGUGCUGAGUGAGGAGAGAAAAGGCCGUGAACAGCGCCAGAGGAAGGCGGUUGGGAAUGGGUCGGUUAGAAAUCCAGACGCAACAAACAUUUCUGGUAAUGAGCAAGUUACAGAGGGCUCUGAUAGUGGAGAGAUUAGUUUAAAAGCCAGGUCAAAUAGUGUACCCAGUAUACCUGACAGUAUCUCAACACAGAAUCAUGCCUCGGGACCACUUUUCACGGGCAAGGGGUUUCGUCAAGAAGCAAAUCGAGCAACUGGACAUGUAGCCGAGAGAGAUAUGGGCUCUGCACGGACCACAAAUCGGACACGGCGACCAAGAAGCAUGCAUGGCACUUACAAGGCGGAUCAAAGUAAACCUGGAGGAAGAGCUGCAAGCACCCGUUCUCCCGUCAGGACAUAUCCGACUGAAAUACUCACUCAUCCCACGAGGACACAGCAGAGUCAGAGACAGGAUAAUCUGCAGUCUCUGUGCUUGAUACCCAGGGCCGACGCACAUGGUGGAAACACGGCUCCCCACCCAGUUGAGAGUUCAUCCCGGGAUGCUUUCAAACGUUUCAGCACUUGGAGUUCCGGGACGCACAACAGCAGCAGACCCCAAAGCUCCCAGAGUCCAGGUCCUGGAUCAACCUCAUCAGGCAGGGGGCAGGAUACACGGCACGGCCCACGACCCUUCAGCAGCACCAGUCAGGUGUCGCACACCUCACACCGUUCCCGCUGUGACAUUCCCAGUGCCUUCCAGAUGCACCCUAGCAACGACAGGACGAUACGAGGGCCGCACAGCCAAAUCCAGGCCGUGCUGGGGGACCCUCCAUGCCCCCGGCCCGUACAGCCAAAGGUGCUUCAUACAUCGGCGUGGUGGCAUGAACCGGGCCGCUACCCUAAGAAGCCUGAUGAUAUCUACCCGCCUAGGAGACACCAGAAACGCCCCGUCAGUAGCGUUCCUGCUGUCGAAUCCAGCAACAGGUUCAGUGUGCUCGAAUCAAUGGGUGAUAACGACAUCUGAAUGAUGUACUAUGCAUUGCAAUAUCCAAAAACAUGAUCAUGUGGAUUUUACACACAAGUGUCUUGAUUGUCUGUCAAUCAAGUUAAUUUUCUCACGUCAUUUGCCUUCACGAUAUAAUGUGAGCAAUAAUUUUGAUAGGAUUUAUAAAUUUGAAAAACACUGAUACAUGUACUUGUAUGUUGUUUGGAUCACUAAAAAAAUAUGGAUGUUUUUCUAUAAAGUUCUAUUUUCAACCAGUUAGAUAUUUUGAGAAUCAAAAUAAGGUUUUGUAGGACCCUCCAAGCUGUAAAGUGUUGUUUUAAAGUUUUAUAUUGCUUAUAGUUGAAGAGGUGAUUGUACACAAGCUUCCAAAUAGUUUAUGCAGUAAAAAGUGGAAAGUGAUGUAUAUUCAGGAAUAAACUUUG
rnacentral:misc_RNA from 1 species